CUCGUAGUUGGAUUUCUGGCGCUGUUUGCGGUUCAUUGCUUUAUUGUGGUGUAACUAGUUCGAAUGGCGCCAUCGUUGGGUGGAACCUGUGUGGCAUUAGGUUGUCGCGCAGGGGAUGCUCAUCUUUUACUGUGAAAAAAUUAGAGUGUUCAAAGCAGGCUUACGCCGUUGAAUAUAUUAGCAUGGAAUAACACUAUACGAUCUUGGAUCUAUUUUGUUGGUUUGCGCUCCGAGAUAAUGAUUAACAGGGACAGUUGGGGGUAUUCGUAUUCCAUUGUCAGAGGUGAAAUUCUUGGAUUUCUGGAAGACGAACUACUGCGAAAGCAUUUACCAAGGAUGUUUUCAUUAAUCAAGAACGAAAGUUAGGGGAUCGAAGAUGAUUAGAUACCAUCGUAGUCUUAACCGUAAACUAUGCCGACAAGGGAUUGGUGGGGUUUCGUUACGUCUCCAUCAGCACCUUAUGAGAAAUCACAAGUCUUUGGGUUCCGGGGGGAGUAUGG
rnacentral:rRNA from 1 species